AUUGAACGCUGGCGGCAGGCCUAACACAUGCAAGUCGAACGGUAACAGGAAGCAGCUUGCUGCUUUGCUGACGAGUGGCGGACGGGUGAGUAAUGUCUGGGAAACUGCCUGAUGGAGGGGGAUAACUACUGGAAACGGUAGCUAAUACCGCAUAACGUCGCAAGACCAAAGAGGGGGACCUUAGGGCCUCUUGCCAUCGGAUGUGCCCAGAUGGGAUUAGCUAGUAGGUGGGGUAACGGCUCACCUAGGCGACGAUCCCUAGCUGGUCUGAGAGGAUGACCAGCCACACUGGAACUGAGACACGGUCCAGACUCCUACGGGAGGCAGCAGUGGGGAAUAUUGCACAAUGGGCGCAAGCCUGAUGCAGCCAUGCCGCGUGUAUGAAGAAGGCCUUCGGGUUGUAAAGUACUAUCAGCGGGGAGGAAGGGAGUAAAGUUAAUACCUUUGCUCAUUGACGUUACCCGCAGAAGAAGCACCGGCUAACUCCGUG
rnacentral:rRNA from 1 species